AAUGUAGUCGGCAAGAGUGGAGGAAGAGAGAAAGGUACCAGCAAUACAACUCCGUCGGCAGAAGGUCCUGAAGGAGGAAACCGAGGCAAAGGAGGAUGGUGCUGCUAAACAGAAUUCCAGGUUAGAUUGAAUGUGUUUUGCUCAUAAUUUUUGUGAAUAUGCAAUGAUCCGUUUCUGCUAAUUCAAUCAGAUGAAUUGGAAGCAGGGCUUCAGUAGCUGGAGACAAGGCUUUCUUCUACAGAGCUCCUCUGUAUGGAAUGGUUUGCCGAAGUGAGAGAAUCAGACUCAGUCUCAACCUUCAAGACUUUUCUCUUCUGUCAGUCCUAUGAUUGAGUGUAGUCUGGCCCAUGGGUGGGAAGGUGAACAGAAACAUGAAAGCCAUCUGACCCUAGAGUCUUGAAAUGUUUGCAGCCUCUAAUGCCAAUAAGGUCUUUACCUGACCCUGCUGGUCAUCUAUGAACGUUUGAAAGUGUUUUUGUGUGCUCUAUCUUGUUCUUAGCAUGCUUAUUUAAGAUGGUGAGGAAAGCACUUUUAAAGAACAACCAGGCAUCCUCUACUGAAAGGAUGAGGUCAAUAUCUUUCCAGGAUAACCGGGCCAGGUCGAUUAGAAAGGCCUGCUCGCGGAAGUGUUUCAGGGAGCGUUUGACAGUGAUGAGUGCAGGUCGCUUGACCGCUGACCCAUUAUGGAUGCAGGCAAUGAGGCAGUGAUAGCUGAGAUCUUGGUUGAAAACAGCAGAGGUGUAUUUAGAGGGCAAGUUGGUUAGGAUGAUAUCUAUGAGGGUGUCCGUGUUUACAGCUUUGGGGUGGUACCUGGUAGGUUCAUUGAUAAUUUGUGUGAGAUUGAGGGCAUCAAGCUUAGAUUGUAGGAUGGCUGGGGUGUUAAGCAUGUUCCAGUUUAGGUCACCUAGCAGCAUGAGCUCUGAAGAUAGAUGGGGGGCAAUCAGUUCACAUAUGGUGUCCAGAGCACAGCUGGAGGCAGAGGGUGGUCUAUAGCAGGCGGCAACGGUGAGAGACUUGUUUUUAGAGAGUUGGAUUUUUAAAAGUAGAAGUUCAAAUUGUUUGGGUACAGACCUGGAUAGUAGGACAGAUCUCUGCAGGCUAUCUCUGCAGCAGAUUGCAACACCGCCCCCUGUGGCAGUUCUAUCUUGUCUGAAAAUGUUGUUGUUAGGGAUGGAGAUUUCAGAGUUUUUGGUGGUCUUCCUAAGACAGGAUUCAGACACGGCUAGGACAUCCGGGUUGGCAGAGUGUGCUAAAGGCGUGAAUAAAACAAGCUUAGGGAGGAGGCUUCUAAUGUUAACAUGCAUGAAACCAAGGCUAUUACAGUUACAGAAGUCAUCAAAAGAGAACGCCUGGGGAAUAGGAGUGGAGCUAGGCACUGCAGGGCCUGGAUUCACCUCUACAUCACCAGAGGAACAGAGGAGGAGUAGGAUAAGGGUACGGCUAAAAGCUAUGAGAAUUGGUCGUCUAGGACGUCCGGAAGCUUGGAUAGAUGUUUAACAUAUCAGCUAACCACAUCUUAUGAUAUAGGAAUGUAAUGCCCGAUAGUCGAUGACGUGGCACAACCAUUGGUUGAUGCAAUGCAAUGUCUUCAACGUAAUCAGGCAGGAACACCACCAGUGUGUGGUUAGGUGAUAUGUUCAACACUAGCCUCACGUGGCCAUCCAUCCAAAUCUUGUCUUGGUAGUCUGAAGAAAUCCAGUAUAGGAUUCUGUGUUUGAAUGGGAGUGUAGGUUUUUGUUCAGACCCUUAUCUAGCACGCCCAACUAACUGGUUGAUAAAUUGAAUCACGUUAGUUGGGUUUGGAACGAAAACCUGCUGGGUUUGGAGCGAAAACCUACAGGAUGGUAGCUCUCCAGGAACAGGAACAGAGUUGGUCAGCCCUGCAAUAGUGAUUUGGGAUUUGUAAAAUAUAAAAGUAGAGGCCAAUAAAUCCUCAAAUAAUCUGAACCAAUUAUGCUAAUCUGUUAUGUUAACGAUCUGUUAUAAUAGACACAGAAAUGAUGAAGCAAUGAAGACCACCUGGAACGCACCCAUGUAGACCUGAGACGAGCCCGCGGGCUAGCAACGCAACCGCAACCCAGCAAUGAAUGCAGAGGGAGAGGACGGAAAUGGAGUCCCUGGACAAGGCGGGAACGAGAUGGUGGUUAGGAGUAGUGCAGUAUUAUCAACAGGAGAGGUGUACUUGGAAAAUGGAGGAGGAGUGGAGGGAAAUGGAGAGGGAGAGAAGGUCUAAGAGAGAGAGGGAAGAAGAGGGUGAGCUUGAGUCGGAUAAGAAUGGUGUAAAAAAGGGAAAUGGUUUGUUAAAGAAGGGAAAAAUGUGUAAGCAGGGAAAAGGGAAAAUGUGUAAGCAGAGGGAGCUGAAGGAUGAGAAAUUGAAGUGAAUGAGGGUGAAUUAUCGAAGGUGGUAGGUAUCGGAGACCGAGGUAUGCACCUAGGAUCAGGAUAAAGAUGAGUCUGUGACAGUAGGAGUGAAGUUUAUGGAAAAAAAUGGACUCUUGCCUUUUGGCUGAUCCAUUUGUGGUUUCACUGUGGGUGAAACAAUAGUUGGGUAAUUUGGAAUCGGUGAAGGUAACCAGAAGUGGGCUAGUCAUAAUUGUUUGUGUUUCUGCUGGUCAGAGGGAGAAGGCGCUCAGAGUAAAACAAAUGGGGGGGCAAGAAAAUCGAAAAUUGUUUCGCUCUCAAGAAAAGGGCGCUGAUGAAAGCAGUGAUAACUGGGGUAAGGUAAACUCACCCCAUUCCAUACAAAUGUGCGCAACUGCCACAUUCAAACGAGGCGACAAAAAAAACUAAUGGGACUGUAGCGACUGUGUUGACUUCAAAAGCGGGGGUGUGAACUAGGCUUCUAUUCAAGCGUUGAUCGACAUGGUAAUGGCUCCAUAGUAUGAGAAAAGUUUUUAAAAAACUGACCCUCCAUUACAUCGUGACGUGUCAUGUCGUAACGUACAGCACGCAUAAAGCAACUAUUUAUGUCUUACAAUCUCUCUCCACCAGGUGUAGCACUUCUCUCAUCCUUUAAAAACAAGAAAGGGACAGUGACGCGGCCCUGGCAACAACACCAAAAAGAAAACAACACAUCAAGAAGUGCAAAAUCGAGGAUGUAUGAUCGGCAGCCUAGUCUGUGCAAGUCCGAUCUGUGAUGGAUUUGUUAUUAUAAAUGUACAGUACCGUUCAAAAGUUGGGGUCACUUAGAAAUGUCCUUGUCUUUGAAAGAAACACAUUUUUAUCCAUUAAAAUAACAUAAAAUUGAUCAGAAAUACAGUGUAGACAUUGUUAAUAUUGUAAAUGACUAUUGUAGCUAGAAAUGGCUGAUUUAAUGUUAUAUCUACAUAGGCCCAUUAUCAGCAACCGUCACUCCUGUGUUCUAAUGGCAUGAUGUGUUAGCUAAUCCAAGUUUAUUUUAAAAGGCUAAUUGAUCAUUAGAAAACCCUUUUGCAAUUAUGUUAGCACAGCUGAAAACUGUUGUCCUGAUUAAAGAAGUAAUAAAACUGGCCUGCUUUAGAAUAGUUGAGUAUCUGGAGCAUCAGCAUUUGUGGGUUUGAUUACAGGCUCAAAAUGUCCAGAAACAAUGAACUUCCUUCUGAAACUCGUCAGCCUAUUCUUGUUCUGAGAAUUGAAGUCUAUUCCACGCGAGAAAUUACCAAGAAACUGAAGAUCUCAUACAACACUGUGUACUACUCCCUUCAUUGGAUGUAAAUCUCCUCAGAUGGAUUGAUAUGCUGUUUAUUUGUUUGUAAAUAUGUGUGGGUCCUCAGCAUCUUGUCUCAUUGUCAAACUAGUGUCUGUCAAUGCAGUAGUAUUUCUGUAUCACAUUAAGCUGGAGUGGAUGUGGCGCAGCAAAAAAAAGUUCUCCUUCAAACAGGGGAAAGAGUGGGGGGUGGAGGGGUGAAAUAAAUCAACACAAACAAUGAAGUACUGA
ensembl:lncRNA